rfam:Pseudomonas fluorescens F113, complete genome.
CUUGAUGGUGGCUGUGCGCAGGGCGCUUCGGCGCGCCGGCAAUGCUGAUCUCCCCGGUCUACUAACCUGCGUACAGCCGCCACCCUU